rnacentral:rRNA from 1 species
ACGGCCGCGGUACCCUAACCGUGCGAAGGUAGCAUAAUCACUUGUUCUUUAAAUGAGGACUCGUAUCAACGGCAUCACGAGGAUCCUACUGUCUCCCCCCUCUAAUCGGUGAAACUGAUCUCUCCGUGAAGAAGCGGAGAUGUACAUAUAAGACGAGAAGACCCCAUGGAGCUUUAAACCCAACAACACCCGCCCCCCUCCAAAUCCUAUUAUUUACCCGGUGAUUGUUUGUUUGGUUUUAGGUUGGGGUGACCGCGGAGUAUAAGAUAUCCUCCAUGAAAAAAAGCUAACUGCCCUUAUUAGAGAAAGACACUUCCAAAAAAUAAUAAAUUAAUUUUAAAUGAUCCGACAUUCGAUCAACGAACCAAGUUACCCUGGGGAUAACAGCGCAAUCCGUCCCGAGAGCCCCUAUCGACAGGCGGGUUUACGACCUCGAUGUUGGAUCAGGGUAUCCCAGUGGUGCAGCAGCUACUAAAGGUUCGUUUGUUCAACGAUUAA